rnacentral:rRNA from 1 species
CUACGGGGGGCUGCAGUGGGGAAUAUUGCACAAUGGGCGCAAGCCUGAUGCAGCCAUGCCGCGUGUAUGAAGAAGGCCUUCGGGUUGUAAAGUACUUUCAGCGGGGAGGAAGGGAGUAAAGUUAAUACCUUUGCUCAUUGACGUUACCCGCAGAAGAAGCACCGGCUAACUCCGUGCCAGCAGCGCGCGGUAAUACGGAGGGUGCAAGCGUUAAUCGGAAUUACUGGGCGUAAAGCGCACGCAGGCGGUUUGUUAAGUCAGAUGUGAAAUCCCCGGGCUCAACCUGGGAACUGCAUCUGAUGCUGGAAAGCUUGAGUCUCGUAGAGGGGGGUAGACUUCCAGGUGGAGCGGGGAAGUGCGUAGAGAUCUGGAGGAAUACCGGGGGCGAAGGCGGCCCCCUGGACGAAGACUGACGCUCAGGUGCGAAAGCGUGGGGAGCAAACAGGAUUAGAUACCCUAGUAGUC